AGCCUGAUGCAGCGACGCCGCGUGAGGGAUGAAGGCCUUCGGGUUGUAAACCUCUUCCAGCAGGGAAGAAGCGAAAGUGACGGUACCUGCAGAAGAAGCGCCGGCUAACUACGUGCCAGCAGCCGCGGUAAUACGUAGGGCGCAAGCGUUGUCCGGAAUUAUUGGGCGUAAAGAGCUCGUAGGCGGUUUGUCGCGUCUGCUGUGAAAACCUGAGGCUCAACCUCGGGCUUGCAGUGGGUACGGGCAGACUAGAGUGCGGUAGGGGUGACUGGAAUUCCUGGUGUAGCGGUGGAAUGCGCAGAUAUCAGGAGGAACACCGAUGGCGAAGGCAGGUCACUGGGCCGCAACUGACGCUGAGGAGCGAAAGCAUGGGGAGCGAACAGGAUUAGAUACCCUGGUAGUCCAUGCCGUAAACGUUGGGCACUAGGUGUGGGGCUCAUUCCACGAGUUCCGUGCCGCAGCAAACGCAUUAAGUGCCCCGCCUGGGGAGUACGGCCGCAAGGCUAAAACUC
rnacentral:rRNA from 1 species